rnacentral:misc_RNA from 1 species
UCUCCGUUGGUGAACCAGCGGAGGGAUCAUUACAGAGUUUUCACAACUCCCAACCCUUGCGAACCGUACCUAUUCUGUUCUCGUUGCUUCCGGCGGGGCGGACGGGGGGGCCCGAAACGCCCUCCCCGCCCCGCCCGCCGGGGGCGGCGGGACCUACGAGCCUUUCUAUCUCAACCACCAAAAAACGUACAACGAACCUAACAAACUUAUCAAAACUUUAAAACACGGAACUCUUGGCACUCGCAACGAUGAAGAACGCAGCAGUGUGGAAGAGCCUAC